GCAGGGCGCAGCCGCAGCGCCGCCCCAGCACUGCCCCCGCCCGGGUGGCUCCGGAGGGAUGGUCCCGGGGGGAGGGUCCCGCCGCACAAGGGCGGAUCUUCCUCUGCCUCCCAGAGCCAGGUUCCGCGUACAACCGCCGGCUACCCCCUCACUUCUGAGCCCGCCGGCUUGGCAAACCGGAUGGGAGCCUCGCUCGCAGCCUAGAAAGCCAACCGCAUCCCGAGCUCCAUCCAAAGCAGCGCAGCCACCAGGACGACAUAGGUGAUUCUGCGCCUCUAAUCUGCUCUGAUUUAAAAUGGGAAACAGAACCUACCCUUUCUCCAUCUGAAAGCUGAGCAAGUGUUAUGAAAACAACAGUUCAUGUAGGAAUUCACCAUCUGCAGCUAUAGAGGAUAUGGCCGUGGAACUUUUGGCACUCAAAAUGGCACGUGCAAUGUAUUCAAGACGCUGCUGAAG